AGGAAAUGGCCUCCACUGCAUGCUUUUUGCACCACCAUGCACUCACUACCGCCGCUUCUGCCCGGUCCUCGUCGUCGUCGCAGCGCCAAGUGGUGAACAUCAACAAGCACAACCAGGUUGUGAUCUGCCGGGCCCAGAAGCAGGCCGCUGGCCAGGAAGAAGAGAGCGGUGCUAACGUCUCGCGGCGGUUGGCUCUCACAGUCCUCAUCGGUGCUGCAGCCCUUGGCUCCAAGGUCUCCCCUGCUGAUGCAGC
rnacentral:lncRNA from 1 species